CUUGAGAGCGGCGGACGGGUGAGUAAUGCCUAGGAAUCUGCCUGGUAGUGGGGGAUAACGCUCGGAAACGGACGCUAAUACCGCAUACGUCCUACGGGAGAAAGCAGGGGACCUUCGGGCCUUGCGCUAUCAGAUGAGCCUAGGUCGGAUUAGCUAGUUGGUGGGGUAAUGGCUCACCAAGGCGACGAUCCGUAACUGGUCUGAGAGGAUGAUCAGUCACACUGGAACUGAGACACGGUCCAGACUCCUACGGGAGGCAGCAGUGGGGAAUAUUGGACAAUGGGCGAAAGCCUGAUCCAGCCAUGCCGCGUGUGUGAAGAAGGUCUUCGGAUUGUAAAGCACUUUAAGUUGGGAGGAAGGGCAGUAACCUAAUACGUUGCUGUCUUGACGUUACCGACAGAAUAAGCACCGGCUAACUCUGUGCCAGCAGCCGCGGUAAUACAGAGGGUGCAAGCGUUAAUCGGAAUUACUGGGCGUAAAGCGCGCGUAGGUGGUUUGUUAAGUUGGAUGUGAAAUCCCCGGGCU
rnacentral:rRNA from 1 species